ACAAUCAAUUAACUUUGCAAUUAAAAUCAAGUGGCCAAUUUGAUCAAAACAACAAAGUAAUCAUGUAAUUAAAGCAUCAAUUGCAUAAAUAUUGAACAAAACCAAAGACAAUAAUUUAUGUUCAGAUCUCACAACCCAUUAAACAACCUUAGUUUCAACCAAUCCUCAACUAGAAUUAAGAAAUUAGCCACUCAUUGGCUAAAUUAAAAACAGAAAAUUAAAAGGAAAAGAAAAGAACCGAAGUUGAAAUCUUGAAUUCUGCUCCCUGCGGAAAUUGCCGAUUUGCCGAAUUGAAGUCU
rnacentral:lncRNA from 1 species